rnacentral:rRNA from 1 species
AUUGAACGCUGGCGGCAGGCCUAACACAUGCAAGUCGAGCGGAGCGGCGGACGGGUGAGUAAUGCAUAGGAAUCUGCCUGGUAGCGGGGGAUAACGUCCGGAAACGGGCGCUAAUACCGCAUACUAUCAGAUGAGCCUAGGUCGGAUUAGCUAGUUGGUGGGGUAAAGGCCUAACAAGGCGACGAUCCGUAACUGGUCUGAGAGGAUGAUCAGUCACAUUGGAACUGGGACACGGUCAAGACUCCUACGGGAGGCAGCAUUGGGGAAUUUUGGACAAUGGGCGAAAGCCUGACCCAGCCAUCCCGGUUGUGUGAAGAAGGUCUUCGGAUGGUAAAGCCCUUUAAGUUGGGAGGCGUUACCAACAGAAUAAGCACCGGCUAACUUCGUGCCAGCCGCCGCGGUAAUAC